AGGAAUCUAAAACGAUGAUUCAUAUAUCUUUUCAAGAUAAUACUGAUCUGAUUUCACAGUAACAUUUCCAACAAGCUACACUUAGUUCACAUGCGUCUCGGUACGAUAUAUUAAUUUGUUACUCAUUAAUACACAAGAUUACUUCAUACACAGAUGUUGCGGACAAAAAAAGAUUCUUCUAGGUUUUAUCAUAAAUGAAAUCAUCAUUUCAGCUUAUCCCUCAGUUAAUCAGACAGAGCUGCAACGCCGCAGGGUAGUUUAAGUAUUCCGGAUCUAACAGAAGCUGUAUUGGUUAUAUGCAAGAAAAAAAUCUGUACGUCAGUAACGGCCAACUAUAUGCCUAUAUAUUUUCCAAUUUUUUCACAUGCUUCUAACAGAAAAUACUCAGUAUUCAAUUAUGCAGACAUGCCACCAAAACACUCGUAGCAAAAAAAAACAAAUGCUUAAUAAAAUCAGAUCUUUAACCUUAAUUUUACUUGAAAGAAACAAGCAGGAUAUACAUCUUCACAUGAAGCAAUCAAACUAAUGCACUGGAGAUCUAGAUUGAACACAUACACAAUAAUCCCAAAUUUAUACAAAUGGAUAAAACAGAAGUGCAAUGUGAAAGAGAACAUAUCAAACUAAACAAAAAAGGAUAUUUUUACGAACACAAACAAUUGUGGUAGAACUUCAGCCGAGCUGAUAUGUAUUUGUCUUGGAUGUGGAAAACAACAAAAUUGAGGAUCAAAUACCAGAUUUUCAAUAAAACCGCAAAUUUCAAACAUUUAUUUUGAAAUGAAAUGACUUAAUAUACCUUGAUAGAUUGUAAGAAACCUUAUUGAGCUGAAAGUUCCGACUUUUUCCCAAAAUGAAGCAGCUUAUAUAAAGGUCGAUCUUCCUUUCUUCUCCUUUUUCUGUUAUCUCAACAACCUGAAAAGUAAAACAGAAAGCAGCAACUCAAAUCAGUAAUAACAAUCUGGAAUAUCUUGGGCCAAAAAAACAACUUGUGACUGAUUGAUAUCUCGCACACAGCUCAAUCACCAUUAUUACAUAAAAUUGAACAAGAUUUCGGAAUGAAAUCGAUAAAAACGUAUUAAAGUAUGUGAAUUUGAAUCUGAAACGAUUAGUAAAUUUUGAUUUGAGCGCAGAAAGCUCGAAUUCGAGGCCUGAAUUGAGGAAUUACCUACACUAUUAGUCGAUGCAAAGAUAGAGCUAGGGCUUUGUGGAGAGGAAACUGAAAAUGUUUCAUAAAUAUGUGAUCAAAGAGUGUGUAAGUGGGCGCAAAGGUUGGAUAUUUAGACGAUAUUACAAAGUAGCGCACCUUAAGGUAGAGGCGUACGUUAAGCCAGGCUUUUGUUCU
rnacentral:lncRNA from 1 species